CUCUAAAUAUGGUAAAGUAAAAAUUGAUUCUUUGAAAUUAAGAAAACCCAAAGGAGAAGGAAAGAUCUGAAAUUUCAUUUUUUAUAAAUUUUAUGGGUUCGGCUGUAAGAAAAUAUUUAUAGUGAUUAUGGCAGCUCUGAGCCUAGCAGCCAUGGAAGCCUUGCUUAGCUUCAAAAACAGAGCUGGGUAACUCCAAAACAGCAAAAUAUGUUUAGAAGAGAGUCUGUCAGACAGCCAUUAUACUAUUCCCAGGUGCACCAUGGUCGGAGCUGACAACGAUCAUCUACUACGGCCAUGACCCAAACACAGCCAUGGGUGAUGUUAUUCACGCUCUGGUAUAAUGGCCACAAAUCAUUCACCAGACUUGGUUUUCUGUCUCCUUAGAAAUCAAAGAUACAGUGAUACGAGCCUAGAGAACAGAUCUUGUUCAAGUAAGUGUUCGAAGUCAUUAUAGCAUCCCCAAUGCCUCACAAAACUCGGCCUUUGUAGCUCUUCUAUUGUAUGCUUCCAUCCUUGUUGGAAAAGAAGAGUAAGACACUUAUUUUGCUUGUAUCUCUAUAGAGUGGGAAAAAUAAUUCUUCCUUUCAACAUUCAAUGGCCUAUUCUACAGCUUUUAUGUUCAGCCUUGUUUAUACAUCCUCUGUCCAUGUUAAUGUGCAUGAGAACGAUGAAUAUCAUUAAAUAUAAUAUUUGCAUCACGUGGUUCAUAUAUACAUAACUCUUAGUGUUGAAAAUCACAUGGGAAAUAUGUUUACGCCUCUUUAAAUGAAGCUUACAAUUAUCAUCAAUGGGUGUCAUUUUGUUUACGCCUAUAUGUCAUAAUUACUCGGAGAACUUCCUUGAUAAAAAAUUGCUCAAAGAACUUUUAGUUGAUGUGGUUUUGCCAAAACCAUUCAGUAAGUUAACCAGAAGAGUGACUGCAAUAUCAUGGGAAUUCUCAAUGUUUAAAUCAACAAAAUUCAAGAAUUAUAUGUGAGGCUCUCUUUCCAUGCAUAUUUUUCAUCUGUAAUUGAUUUAGUUGUUGAAGCACAAUUUUAUAACUAAAAGAAGUUCAAUCUUUAAAUUUAGGACACCUUUCAUACUUCUUGUAUUCAAAGAGAAUCGAAUAUAGGCUUUGUUUAUUUUCUCUUUCUUUGUCUAUUUCCAAACAGAAAGUUAUAGAGAGUUGAGUCAUUUUGAGUAAUUCUCCCACAUCGGCAUCUAAGAGAAAAGUGGAGCAAAAGCAGGUAGUAUUAGUAAUGGACUGAGCUUUCCUAAGAACAUACUUACCUGGACAGGGUCAAUGGGUGAUCAAUAAGACCCAUGGCCUAGGUUGGUGACCUCCAUUGCACUUUGGAGGGGUGCUUGCCUAAGGUCGGCCCAAGUGGUCGAGCCUAUGUCAUAAUUUGUUGCUGUGGGGGCAUGCGUUCGCGCGGCCCCUACCACCAAACUUUAAACCCAAUUUUUUUUGUCCAUUAGUGAUGAUUGGAGACUGGAUAUACCAGAGGCAGAAUAACUGUUAAAAUGGUCUUUGGCAGUGAACUGUUAAAAUGUCAUUGGCAAUAAAUUUAUAAGGGCUGCUUUGGUUGAGCUAUGCAAAACUAGGAUCUGUUAAUACAGAUAGCAGGCUUGCUUAUGGUCCAGUCCUGUUAGCUGCUACAUUGUGAACAAAAUCAACCUAAGAAAAGGCUGAAAAUGUUGAAAACUGAUAUAAUCUGUGAUUUGAGGAGGCUGGUGCCCGAUGUUAGAUGUUAUUGAAAAUUCAUCCUUUCUUAGAGAACUUGCUUUGUUUAAUUAAAGACAACACUAUUCAGUUGAUUGAGUUGAGGGGUGUUUCUAUUUUCUAUUAAAAGUGCCUUGAAUUGGAUUAUAUCUUAACCUUUCCAUAUUCAUUUUUAACUCAAAUCUGUUUUAUU